rnacentral:rRNA from 1 species
UACGUAGGGUGCAAGCGUUGUCCGGAAUCAUUGGGCGUAAAGCGCGUGUAGACGGCCGAGUAAGUCUGCUGUGAAAGUCCAGGGCUCAACCCUGGGAUGCCGCAGAUACUGCUUGGCUAGAGUACGGGAGGGGCGAGUGGAAUUCCUGGUGUAGCGGUGGAAGUGCGCAGAUAUCAGGGAGGAACACCUAUGGGCGAAGGCAGCUCGCUGGAACGUUACUGACGCUGGAGACGCGAAAG